CAACUUUCAACAACGGAUCUCUUGGUUCUCGCAUCGAUGAAGAACGCAGCGAAUUGCGAUAUGUAAUGUGAAUUGCAGAAUUCAGUGAAUCAUCGAAUCUUUGAACGCACAUUGCACCCUCUGGUAUUCUGGAGGGUAUGCCUGUUUGAGUGUCAUUA
rnacentral:rRNA from 2 species